UACGUAGGGGGCUAGCGUUGUCCGGAUUCAUUGGGCGUAAAGAGCGUGUAGGCGGCCAGGUAGGUCCGCUGUGAAAACUCGAGGCUCAACCUCGAGAUGUCGGCGGAAACCAUCUGGCUAGAGUCCGGAAGAGGAGAGUGGAAUUCCCGGUGUAGCGGUGAAAUGCGCAGAUAUCGGGAAGAACACCCGUGGCGAAGGCGGCUCUCUGGGACGGUACUGACGCUGAGGUGCGAAAGCGUGGGGAGCAAACAGG
rnacentral:rRNA from 1 species